UGGGCAUCUGGGAAACACAAGCCCAGAAUGAGUCUUUGAGAGGAGCUGCAGGCAGAUCUUCUUUGCCACUGAAGUUGGUUUGAAUUGUGGGUGCACCCAGGCUGCGGGGGACGUGGAUCUGUGCUGCUUUUCAGAUCACAGCCUCACGCCAAGCCCUGAUGUUGCAGCUCUUGAUAGGAUGGGAUCGUGCAGGCACAAAAGGGUUAACAGAGCACCUUGAGGCCUGGAAAGAGGCCUGGGCUGAGCUUGCAGGGAUUUCCCUAGUCAUUACAGGAGAGGGGCUGCAGCUGGGGUUAAUUAGGAGCAGGUGAUAAAGGGAGGAAGCUGGAACUGCUCUGGUUCCCUGUCAGGGGAGGAUGGCUGGGCCCUGCUCUGCUGCUCAGAAGCUGCUGCCUGUCACUUUGGUCUGCUCUGCCUGGCAUCUGCAUGGCAGGAAAACAGGUAUCAGGGCAGGUCUUUGCUGUGUGGGAGCUGUCGAAGGAGAGAGAUGCUGUAGCACCAGCUUUAAUGGCUCCAUGCUGGGGAGUCUGGUAGAGGAGAGAAGGGCUGAGGGCUGUUGUAUGACCUCAGAGAGGGCUGGAUGCGGAGACUUGCUAUCACAGAACUGGAUGAAGCUAAAAGAAACGGGUGAAGAAUAUAGCGGCAUGAUUCUUGUCCUUGGAGAGGCUUCAUUAAAGGAGGGCAUAAAGGAUUACUGAUUGAUUUGAAUGCCUUUCAACAAGGAGUGUGCUCGUUGAUGGAAUUAAAGACGCGUGUGCUUGAUUGUUGGAUGCGUCUGAUAGAGUCUCAAGACGAUAAUAGGGUCAUUCCCCUAUUGCAUUAAGCACCAUAUACACUGGAAGGAGAGAGAGUUUCCUCCCUGACGAGUCUGCAGUCUAAGCCUGAAGCCUGACUGAUGAGAGGGGUAGAAGGAACCGUCUCUGUUUCCAAUCUCUACGACAAUCAUCAGUAAGAAGAUUUCCUGCAGACUUUUGAGGGACUGAAGCAAUCUGAUGGGUUUCUGUAAAGAACAUGAUAUCUUAUGACCUCAUGGGGAGCCCAGGGAGACGAGCCACCGUGAUGAAGAAUGGAAAGCAGCACGUAAGACCGGAGUGAGUGCAAGGAGACAAAAGGAUGCAAGGCUGAGCCAUGACUAAAGAUCUCAAAGCACCUUACCAGAAAGCUCUGGCUCAACUCCCACCCCUCUUUACAGAUGAGAAACCUGAGGCACAGAAAGGGGAAAAUGACUUCCUAGGAUCAGCCAGCUGGCCCGUGACAGUCGGAAAGAGAACCCAGGUCUCUCGAGACUAAAACCUGAGCUCUGUACAGUAGGACCCCACUACCACCAUUUGCAGUGAUCUCGUAGCAUAGGAUCUUGUAGGGUAGCUGGCAUUAUAAACCUUGCUGAGCUCCUGCUGACUAAAUUGUCUGGUUGCUUUCCCUUUGCAGCUGCGCUGCAAUAUUCGUCCAUCCUACAGGACUGAACGGCGAACACGCUGCAGGCUUCAGAAAACCAAGAGCACUUCUCAGCAAGUGGGAAGUUUAAAGGCAGCUAGUAAACAAACUUCCCUUUCUUGAUCUGCGCAUUUUUCUUUUUAUUUUGUUUAAAUAUUACAUUUCCUGUGAGAAAUGUUGGCAGCCCUUGAAAUAAGACAUAUCAAUGAAUGCAGCACUUAAUUUAGCUUUAAUAGGAUAAUCCUUUGCUGCCUGUUACAUAAAUGCUAAUUGAAUAUUAAGAACAUAUUAACUGAGAAUUAACCGCUCAGGGAUAGGGGUGUGUUUUAUUAUAUAGUUGUUAAACGCCAGGCCCUCUCCUGCAUUGCUUCUUGAAGGAAAUGUCCCUGAAGCUGGUUUGAAAGGCCACAGAUCAAUGGUGAGAUUACUGCAGACUACUGGGUACGGGCUGGGUGAGAACUUGAAGAUCAGGUACGGUUUAUUCGUUAGGCAAGUGCCUGAUUCAAAGCCUGUUGGAGCCAGUGAGAACUUAUCCAUUGAUUUAAGUGGAAGCUGGGUCAUUCACCAGGUGGGGCUUAGUUAAAGAUAAGCAUGUUUUCCAGGGAGAAUUGUAGUAGUAAUUAAUGAGUGGCACGGACAGGUCUGGAGGCUACGAUUUCUUUAUCUGCCACUCAGGCAGCACAGAGCAAGUAUUCAUCGGGUUGUACUGGUACGUGGCUUUGGUUUUUAAGGAAUCAUCUUUUUGAGACAGACAGUCCGCAAGGGGCCAGCUGUGCUCUGUUAUGAACCUGGUAAGCUGAAGCAAUGGCAAAAAUAAGCCCGGGCCCGCCAGGUCUGGAGAACAGGUUCAGCUCCAUCUCUACAUCAUGGCAUCAGAAAGCAAAGCAAAGUGAAUUUAAAAUCUGCACAAGUAGUUUUCCCACACAAGGUAGAGUUGACCUGCAGGCCUCACUGCCAUAGGAUAGUGCUGGCACUAAGUCCAUAGUAGUAUUCAGAAAGGACUGGCUUUUUCUAUGGAUGAUGAUAUCGUCUGGAGCUAUAUAGCAGUUUCAAGUGAAGUUGAAACCCUCCUGCUAUAGGGCACGAGCUAACCUCUAACUGAUUGGGGUUGAAGGACUUUGCCCCUGUUAGCCAACAAUUUCAGUGUUGUUCUCGCACCUUCCUCUGAAGCAUCUAGCACGGGCUGUUGUCCAAUACAGGGUCAUGGGUUAUAUGAACCGUGAUCUGACCCAAAGUGCCAAUUGCUGCGUUCGAGCAGUUCAUGCAAAAUGCAAUCCCAUCUUUUUGCUCCUCCUUCCGCAGGGAAUCUGCUGCCUUUUAUUUUAUUCUGGGAUUUAUUUAUUGCCACUAGCUCAAUUACAUUGUUGCAAAGCAUGAGUGAUAAAACCCUUAAAUUACUUAUAGCACAUCCUUGUUUUAACGGAAUAAUUACUGUGUUUCUAAACAGGGAGUAAUUCUUCAC